rnacentral:snRNA from 1 species
UUUCUUCUCUUUAAUAAUGAUUAG